rnacentral:snRNA from 1 species
AGCUUUGCACAGUUGCAGUAUCAUAGCCAAUGAGGCUUAUCCAAGGCAUGAUUAUUGAUAAUUGAAAAUAAAUUAAAUGUACAGUUCAGAGGUUUUUAGUAUAUGCAAAGAGUUGUAUAAUAUAAUCAUU